UGGGGAAUAUUGCACAAUGGAGGGAACUCUGAUGCAGCGACGCCGCGUGAACGAAGAAGGCUUUCGAGUCGUAAAGUUCUUUUAUAUGGGAAGAUAAUGACGGUACCAUAAGAAAAAGCCCCGGCUAACUACGUGCCAGCAGCCGCGGUAAUACGUAGGGGGCUAGCGUUGUCCGGAAUCACUGGGCGUAAAGGGUUCGCAGGCGGAAAUGCAAGUCAGGUGUAAAAGGCAGUAGCUUAACUACUGUAAGCAUUUGAAACUGCAUAUCUUGAGAAGAGUAGAGGUAAGAGGAAUUUUUAGUGUAGCGGUGAAAUGCGUAGAUAUUAAAAAGAAUACCGGUGGCGAAGGCGACUUACUGGGCUCAUUCUGACGCUGAGGAACGAAAGCGUGGGUAGCAAACAGG
rnacentral:rRNA from 2 species